rnacentral:rRNA from 1 species
GACGAACGCUGGCGGCGUGCCUAAUACAUGCAAGUCGAACGCUGAAGGAGGAGCUUGCUUCUCUGGAUGAGUUGCGAACGGGUGAGUAACGCGUAGGUAACCUGCCUGGUAGCGGGGGAUAACUAUUGGAAACGAUAGCUAAUACCGCAUAAGAGUAGAUGUCGCAUGACAUUUGCUUAAAAGGUGCAAUUGCAUCACUACCAGAUGGACCUGCGUUGUAUUAGCUAGUUGGUGAGGUAACGGCUCACCAAGGCAACGAUACAUAGCCGACCUGAGAGGGUGAUCGGCCACACUGGGACGGAGACACGGCCCAGACUCCUACGGGAGGCAGCAGUAGGGAAUCUUCGGCAAUGGACGGAAGUCUGACCGAGCAACGCCGCGGGAGUGAAGAAGGGUUUCGGAUCGGAAAGCUCUGUUGUAAGAGAAGAACGAGUGUGAGAGUGGAAAGUUCACACUGUGACGGUAUCUUACCAGAAAGGGACGGCUAACUACGUG